CAAACGACUCUCGGCAACGGAUAUCUCGGCUCACGCAUCGAUGAAGAACGUAGCAAAAUGCGAUACUUGGUGUGAAUUGCAGAAUCCCGUGAACCAUCGAGUUUUUGAACGCAAGUUGCGCCCGAAGCCUUCUGGUCGAGGGCACGUCUGCCUGGGCGUCACAC
rnacentral:rRNA from 1 species